GACGAACGCUGGCGGCGUGCUUAACACAUGCAAGUGGUGCGACGAACCAGGCUUCGGCCUGGGGCAGAGCCGCGAACGGGUGAGUAACACGUGGGCAACCUGCCCUGUUGACCGGGACAACCCGGGGAAACCCGGGCUAAUACUGAAUGUGGAGCCGGCUCAUGAGAGCCGUCACGAAAGGAAGCCUCGGCCUCCGCGACAGGAUGGGCCCGCGGCCCAUUAGCUUGUUGGUGGGGUAAUGGCCUACCAAGGCAACGAUGGGUAGCUGGUCUGGGAGGACGAUCAGCCACACAGGGACUGAGACACGGCCCAGACUCCUACGGGAGGCUGCAGUGGGGAAUCUUGCGCAAUGGGCGACAGCUUGACGCAGCAACGCCGCGUGGGGGAAGAAGGCUUUCGGGUCGUAAACCCCUUUCAGUUAGGACGAAGCUGUAUUGGUUAAUAACCAAUUAGAGUGACGGUACUUUCAGAAGAAGCCCCGGCUAACUACGUGCCAGCCGCCGCCGUAA
rnacentral:rRNA from 1 species